GGAAGGCCCCCUUCCUGACUCUGCCCUUCCCAGAGGCACAGCGGCAGCUUCAGGCCAGACUCUACCAUCUCUGAUGCUGUGUCACCGAUAGCACUGCCUGCUCUGGCCACGAAUAAUACUCCUUGACCGGCAGUCCUUCAUGCACUGCUCCUCUGUAUUUCUUACCGUGAAAGGAAGUAGAUCCACGUCAAUGCCCUCAAUUGGAGCACGCUUGACCCAGUUUCAUCAUUUGCCUUUUAGUGUUGUCUGUGAGGUUACUUUCCAUUGCCACAUUGGAAACUGCUCAAGUUGACUAAGCUGAAAGCAGUCUUGUGCUGCCUGUGGCCUCUUCAUCACCCUGGAACCUGAACCCUAUGCCGACCUGCUCAUGACAGUAUAGCAACUGUACCUUGUGCUUCUCUGCACUUACGCACAUUGAGAGAAAGCUAUCAGAAGAAGAAGCCAGAGAACUAACGGGGUUCAUCUCAGGUGCCUGCUUUUCUUCAAAGUCCAGUACUGCCUGCCGUUCAGGGUGUGUAAACAGUCGCCUCAUAUGUUUGUCUGGCCGUACGGUUGUUUUUGGCAGGGGGGUAAGGCUCAUAUCAGUUUUCCUGGCAGGGCUGGAGGCUCGAGUUCUCCAAUAGUUUGAAAGUGAGAUAGUAUUUGAAACCUAAAUGCAGAUAGUUAUUUGCCCGUUUCUAUGUUUUAAAGUUUAGCAAAAUUUGAUUAAUUA
rnacentral:lncRNA from 1 species